AUUGAACGCUGGCGGCGUGCCUAACACAUGCAAGUCGAGCGGUAACAGGUGUAGCAAUACAUGCUGACGAGCGGCGAACGGGUGAGUAAUGCUUCGGAAUCUACCCAAUGGUGGGGAAUAACCAGCCGAAAGGUUGGCUAAUACCGCAUACGUCCCACGGGAGAAAGCAGGGGAUCGCAAGACCUUGCGCCAAUGGAUGAGCCGAAGUCGGAUUAGCUAGUUGGAGGGUAACGGCCUACCAAGGCGACGAUCCGUAGCUGGUCUGAGAGGACAACCAGCCACACUGGGACUGAGACACGGCCCAGACUCCUACGGGAGCAGCAGUGGGGAAUAUUGGACAAUGGGGGAAACCCUGAUCCAGCGACGCCGCGUGUGUGAAGAAGGCCUGCGGGUUGUAAAGCACUUUUAGUGGGGAUGAAAUGUUCAGGGUUAACACCUCUGGAUUUUGACCUAA
rnacentral:rRNA from 1 species